rnacentral:rRNA from 1 species
GACGAACGCUGGCGGCGUGCCUAAUACAUGCAAGUUGAGCGCUGAAGGUUGGUACUUGUACCAACUGGAUGAGCUGCGAACGGGUGAGUAACGCGUGGGGAAUCUGCCUUUGAGCGGGGGACAACAUUUGGAAACGAAUGCUAAUACCGCAUAAAAACUUUAAACACAAGUUUUAAGUUUGAAAGAUGCAAUUGCAUCACUCAAAGAUGAUCCCGCGUUGUAUUAGCUAGUUGGUGAGGUAAAGGCUCACCAAGGCGAUGAUACAUAGCCGACCUGAGAGGGUGAUCGGCCACAUUGGGACUGAGACACGGCCCAAACUCCUACGGGAGGCAGCAGUAGGGAAUCUUCGGCAAUGGACGAAAGUCUGACCGAGCAACGCCGCGUGAGUGAAGAAGGUUUUCGGAUCGUAAAACUCUGUUGGUAGAGAAGAACGUUGGUGAGAGUGGAAAGCUCAUCAAGUGACGGUAACUACCCAGAAAGGGACGGCUAACUACGUG